GGAGGUUUAUAAACCAGUGCUGUCAACUGCGCUCCAAAGUAGAGGGAUAAUUAAAUGAGGGUCAGAUGCUUUGACUACACUGAACUGACUCCCACUGGCUGAAGCUGUUGCCAGGUGUCUUGGCGUUAGGUAGACCCACAGUAAACCCAGGAUAUGCCGAAUGACUUCUGUCCAUGUGGAAUCAAAUGGUGGAGCCCUGACUUUGCUGCGAUUCCUCAGCAUCCUGCUGGGGAAUUCGUCUCUCCAAUCCCGUGCCUAUCAGUCCUGUUGUUGGAGCCAUUGUUUGCAUCUGAAGAAAAUGAUCAAAGCACAGACAUAAGUACUAAUCCACAUCACAGAGCUUGACUCUCUCCAGCUGACAGGUAAAUAUGCUAAUAAAGUGACAGCAAGAAGCUUUCCAAGAGAAAUGGUUGCUGAUUACAAGAAGCAGUUAAAGUAUCGCCUUGUCUCAUACUACCAGCACAUUGACCUUGGAGAUUAUAGUUUCAAAGACCUCUGCUAGGGCUAAAGAACAAAGAGGGUGAAUUUUUGUGAUGCUCUCCAAUUCCUCCGUUACAAUACUCUCUUCCAUCAAACCUAAGAGAACAGCUGGGGCAAGGCCUAAAGAAACUCAGCCCAGCAAUGUAACACUUCAGUGCAGUACUGAUACAAUGUGACAAUCUAGAGACACAAGAAAUUCUGCAGAUGCUGGAAUCUGAAGCAUUACACAAAAUGCUGGAGGAACUCAGCAGGUCAGGCAGCAUCCAUGGAGGGAAAUAAACAGUCAACGUUUCGAGCCGAGACCCUUCAUCUAGAGAAUAUUUUGAAUGAGAGGCUCCAUCUUCCUGUUCCAGGGCCUCAAGGAGAUGUAAAAUACACCACAGCAUUUGGAGAAGAAGACAGUUCUUCUAGUACUGGCCAGCACUGCUCCCUCAAAGCAACAUCAAAAGCAGAUCAUCAAAGCACUUAUUUGCUAUUCAAGGAACCUUGCUAUGAGCAAACUGGUUAAUAUAUUAAACUGCAUAACACAGUAACUGCAUUUCAUUGAUUGUUAAAUGCUUUCAGAUGACCUCUUAAUGACUUGGUAUGUAUGCACGUUCUUUCUUCCUUCACUGGGGACUAGUCUCCCAGAAUCCAAACAUGUAAUGAACUGUUAAAGCUCUGUAUUACAACCAGAAAAUAUAUGUGCUAAUAUUAAGUAAAUUUAUGUCUUUUGAUGAGAAAGUUCUCUGAUUCCGUGAAAUAUAACUGUUGAGAUCUGGUAUUUGAUCAAGAUACAAAUUAAACCUCUGCCAGAGCCAACCAUAAAAAUUCAAAAUAUCAGACAGUUGACAAUAAAAAAAUACAUUGAUACGUAGAAAAAUUGGUUAAGUUUUCAUUAACCUUCCUUUGCACAGAGUUGAAAAUGGAAUCCAAAAUCCAAACAAAAUAUGAAGACAAAACUCUCACUGUUUAUUUCAUUUAACAUAAUGUUGCAUGUAUUUUUGUAGAAUAGUUAGAAAUGUAAUAGCAAUGGAGAAAUGAAAACCCAGUCCAAUGGAUCUCUUCUGGCUACAGAGGAAGG